UACGGAGGGUGCAAGCGUUAAUCGGAAUUACUGGGCGUAAAGGGCGCGUAGGUGGCGGUUUAAGUUGGCCGUAAAAUCCCUGGGCUUAACCUGGGGCGGUCGGCCAAUACUGGAUUGCUAGAGUACGGGAGAGGGCAGUGGAAUUUCCGGUGUAGCGGUGAAAUGCGUAGAUAUCGGAAGGAACACCAGUGGCGAAGGCGGCUGCCUGGCCCGAUACUGACACUGAGGCGCGAAAGCGUGGGGAGCAAACAGG
rnacentral:rRNA from 1 species